AUUAAUUUCUGCUGCUUAUCUUUGCAGGUUUUAUAUUGACUAAGGAAGGGUUUGUUCUUUGUAUUAGUCACCAGGCCGUUUAUUGUGACUUGCAGUUGAGUUGGUCUUUCCUCCUUUCCAGGGUUUGCUUCUGUGCAUAUUGCAAGUGAGCAAGCUGCUGUGCCUGCAUAGAGCUGUAACUGGGUCAGGAAGACUUUGCAGAUUUAAUUUGGAGCACAUAUGCCCAACAUAUGUAACAUCAUCAAACAGUUACCUGAUGCUCUUCAAAACAGUGUGAACAAAGCAAUAACUUCAAGGUCUUGAAUGCUACUGGGAAUCCAGCCUUGUGUUUUGACUCACAGCCUUCUCUCUACCAGUAAUAGUUCUUUUUGAUUGGUGAGCUACUAAACCCAAACUGAAAUUACCAAUCAUUUGCAAACCUGGAAUACAGUUCACUUCCAAGUUGCACCAGAAAUCUUUCAUUUGGUAAGUUGCAGUGCAUGCUCAAAAAAAAGGGGU
rnacentral:lncRNA from 14 species